GAAAGCGUGGGGGAGCAAACAGGAUUARAUACCCUGGUAGUCCACGCUGUAAAMGAUGUCGAUUUUGGAGGUUGUGCCCUUGAGGCGUGGCUUCCGGAGCUAACGCGUUAAAUCGACCGCCUGGGGAGUACGGCCGCAAGGUUAAAACUCAAAUGAAUUGACGGGGGCCCGCACAAGCGGUGGAGCAUGUGGUUUAAUUCGAUGCAACGCGAAGAACCUUACCUACUCUUGACAUCCAGAGAAUUUAGCAGAGAUGCUUUAGUGCCUUCGGGAACUCUGAGACAGGUGCUGCAUGGCUGUCGUCAGCUCGUGUUGUGAAAUGUUGGGUUAAGUCCCGCAACGAGCGCAACCCUUAUCCUUUGUUGCCAGCGAUUCGGUCGGGAACUCAAAGGAGACUGCCGGUGAUAAACCGGAGGAAGGUGGGGAUGACGUCAAGUCAUCAUGGCCCUUACGAGUAGGGCUACACACGUGCUACAAUGGCGUAUACAAAGAGAAGCGACCUCGCGAGAGCAAGCGGAACUCAUAAAGUACGUCGUAGUCCGGAUUGGAGUCUGCAACUCGACUCCAUGAAGUCGGAAUCGCUAGUAAUCGUAGAUCAGAAUGCUACGGUGAAUACGUUCCCGGGCCUUGUACACACCGCCMGUCACACCAUGGGAGUGGGUUGCAAAAGAAGUAGGUAGCUUAACCUUCGGGAGGGCGCUUACCACUUUKRAUUMWG
rnacentral:rRNA from 1 species